CCUACGGGGUGCAGCAGUGGGGAAUAUUGGGCAAUGGGCGCAAGCCUGACCCAGCAACGCCGCGUGAAGGAAGAAGGCUUUCGGGUUGUAAACUUCUUUUGUCAGGGACGCAGCAAGUGACGGUACCUGCCGAAUAAGCCACGGCUAACUACGUGCCAGCAGCCGCGGUAAUACGUAGGUGGCAAGCGUUAUCCGGAUUUACUGGGUGUACAGGGCGUGUAGGCGGGGAAGCAAGUCAGAUGUGAAAACCACGGGCUCAACCUGUGGCCUGCAUUUGAAACUGUUUUUCUUGAGUGCUGGAGAGGCAAUCGGAAUUCCGUGGGUAGCGGUGAAAUGCGUAGAUAUACGGAGGAACACCAGUGGCGAAGGCGGAUUGCUGGACAGUAACUGACGCUGAGGCGCGAAAGCGUGGGGAGCAAACAGGAUUAGAUACCCGGGUAGUC
rnacentral:rRNA from 1 species